UGCCAGCCGCCGCGGUAAUACGGAGGGGGCUAGCGUUGUUCGGAAUUACUGGGCGUAAAGCGCGCGUAGGCGGGCUGGUCAGUUGGGGGUGAAAUCCCGAGGCUCAACCUCGGAACUGCCCUCAAUACUACCAGUCUAGAGUUCGGGAGAGGUGAGUGGAAUUCCUAGUGUAGAGGUGAAAUUCGUAGAUAUUAGGAAGAACACCAGUGGCGAAGGCGGCUCACUGGGCAAUAACUGACGCUAAUGUACGAAAGCGUGGGGAGCGAACAGGAUUAGAUA
rnacentral:rRNA from 1 species